AUUUACUCUCAUCAUUGGUAUCGUCUUGGCCUUCCUGCUCUACAGAAAUCUUAAUGAACCAUUUGCGCCAGUACCAACCCGAGAGAAGUAAAAUCUCUUUGGAGUUCCAUCCAUGAAUCUACAAUUCCAUUUCAUAUGCAGUAUUUGUGUAAUAUAUCAUAUGAUCAGAAUGUAUAUAUUUGUGUCUAUGUAGAUCCCAGUUAUUUAUAUAGGAAUAUGUGUACCUGUAAAUAAUACAAUGUCAUUAAGAUGUUCGGAAGUGUAUGUGUUACAUGCUAUGAUUUUAUGUGAAAAUGUUGUCAUCUCACCUGUUUUGUUUUUAGUGAUAUAACUGGUGUGUAUUUUUUUUUACCUGGGUGUACAUGUAAAAAAAGGUUGACAAUUUUUGUGUUAUACAUAAUUUUAUGAAAAGUUCUCUGGCAUAAAGUAGAAAAUAAUCAUCGAUUUCAAGAAAAUUUUGCCCUUAAUUUGAUUUGAUGUUUUACAUAUAUAUUUUAAGACAUGACUCAUGUAUGAAAUGGCAUAAAACCCAAAAAUAUUCACUAGUCAUGGUGUAAUAUAAACACCAGGAAAAAGAUUUUAUUAGGUAUUUUGAAAUAUACAUAAAUUGGAAAGGAAGUGGGUUUUUUUUUUGGUGAAAUCAAGAUUGGGAUGUAUUUUAUUUGAUAUGUGACUUUGAAGUCAGCUCUUUUAACUCAAAUUCAAUUUUUACAUGAAGAAUUGUAGAUAAAUGUGAUUGAAUUUUUAGUGGGUUUUUAUUUUAGUGGGUUUUUAUUUUAAGAAAAUUCUUUUCUCUGUGUAAUUUUUCUUUGUCAAGUUUUUUUUUAAAUAUAAUUAUAAGGCAAUUUUCUGUGUUGGAGGCAGCAUUAACUUAAAAAAUAAAAUAUCAAAUGCUUAAAUGCUUUUCACAUUGGAUGAUACUCAUUAGAAAAUCUAUAGAUCUGUGAACUGAAAUAUUAAUUCUAUGCAUGCAUGUGUAUUUGUAAUAUAUGAAACUACUUUUGAUUUUGUGCAGAACUAUAAAUUAUAAAAUCUUAUUUCUAAU
rnacentral:misc_RNA from 1 species